UACGUAGGGACCAAGCGUUGUUCGGAUUUACUGGGCGUAAAGGGCGCGUAGGCGGCAAUUCAAGUCGGCUGUGAAAUCUCCGGGCUUAACUCGGAACGGUCAGCUGAUACUGCUUUGCUAGAGUGCAGAAGGGGCAAUCGGAAUUCUUGGUGUAGCGGUGAAAUGCGUAGAUAUCGGGAGGAACACCUGUGGCGAAAGCGGCGCACUGGACCACAACUGACGCUGAUGCGCGAAAGCUAGGGGAGCAAACAGG
rnacentral:rRNA from 1 species